rnacentral:misc_RNA from 1 species
UCUCCGUUGGUGAACCAGCGGAGGGAUCAUUACUGAGUUACCGCUCUACAACCCUUUGUGAACAUACCUAACUGUUGCUUCGGCGGGCAGAGGUCCCUCGCGGAUCUCUCCCGGCAACGCCCUCACGGGCGGAGCGCCCGCCGGAGGAUACCAAACUCUAUUCUAACGACGUUUCUUCUGAGUGGCACAAGCAAAUAAUUAAAACUUUUAACAACGGAUCUCUUGGUUCUG